rnacentral:piRNA from 1 species
UCAAGUAUGGAUUGGGAAGGCCAUGUGUCG